UACGUAGGGUGCAAGCGUUGUCCGGAAUUAUUGGGCGUAAAGAGCUCGUAGGCGGUUCGUCGCGUCGGCUGUGAAAACCCGGAGCUCAACUCCGGGCCUGCAGUCGAUACGGGCGGACUUGAGUGUUGCAGGGGAGACUGGAAUUCCUGGUGUAGCGGUGAAAUGCGCAGAUAUCAGGAGGAACACCGGUGGCGAAGGCGGUUCUCUGGGCAUUACCUGACGCUGAGGAGCGAAAGUGUGGGGAGCGAACAGG
rnacentral:rRNA from 1 species